AUGCUCACUUGAGCAGCACAUGUACCAAAACUGAAAUGAUACAGAAAAGAUUGUCAUGGCCCCUUUGCAGAGGUGACGCAUACAUUUGUGAUGCAUCCCAUAUUUUU